rnacentral:lncRNA from 1 species
GUCUGGGGAAGGGUGGCGAGCUAACGGAGCGUGUUGGUGUGAGAAGUGUUGUAGAUGUAGAUGACAGAUGAGGAAAAAAUUUAAAAUUUGGCAAAACACAGAUGUAGUCCUGAGUGCCGGGUAUAAAAGUUGUGACGCGUAAAAAGCGUCUCACACGUCCCUUUUCGUUGUUUUUAGGUUUUAUGUUACCGCUCUACCCUUGGAGAGAGGGGAAGUAUUAUUUUAAUUGAGUUUUUCUUCGUUGGCUAAUUUCCAACAAACUAUUUUUCGUUUGGG